CAGUGUGUGACUUCUGUUAUUUUCUUGUCGGACUCUGUGUGUAUUUAACACAGUGUACGAACUCUUGUUUGGUAAUGAAGAACACAAUUAUUCUUUCUCUCACUACUACUACAUGAAACAAAAUUCUCGAUAGCUAGACAUUUUAUCUAACAAAAAUUUCGGUAUCUUGGUACCACCAAUUUUACGGCAUGUAAGAUUAACUGAUAAGGAAGGUUAAGUUUGAAAAAGAGAGCAGAAAAAAGGUUUGAUACUGGUCUGGUUUGGAUCAAAUUUGAUGAAAUAUGAUUAGGUAAAAUGGAAAAUCAAAUGAAAGCAUUAGUCGGUGAGUAUAAACAAAAUGGGUAGCAGAUGCGUUCUUGGGUGAAGUUAAAUUAAAGAGAAUGGGACGAAUGGAUAUUUGUGAAUGUUGUUUGGGUCAGAAUAAAGGAAUCUAAAUAGAAGGUUGGAAGAUAUUUGAGUGGAAUAUGGAAGAAAACUCAAUCCAAUUUCAUGCAGAAGUUCCCUAAAGUGGAUCCAUCCUUCUGAAUCCGGUUAAUGAUUAAUGUUUGGUGCAAGUAGUAUCAAAACACAUGUAAUAUGUUGAUAUUCAAACAGUCAAUGCUGGCCAUGGAUGCUUUUACUGGAGCUAUUUGGUUUGUGUAGGAAAAGAUUUUCCAUCUUUUAAUUUAUCUUUAAAUAUUCAGUUU